GUACUGAAAGCGCAGCAGUAAAAAAAAGAAAACAAAACGAUAAAUCAGAUACCAGUGCAUCUAAAAACAAUUCUUCAGCGGAAGGGACAGUGCCAAAGAGGUGGUGGAUCAAGCCUGCAGAAAUGUGUCCAGCACUGUCUAGGGUCAAGCUGCAGAACUGAGGGUCCCGUGGAAGGUCUGGCCCCUCCAGCUCACUGGAACAAAGAUUGGUCCCUUGGCCAGCACAGUACCCUGGUUCCAGCCCCUCUGCAGCGCCCUUCACACUGCCAACGUGGUGCGCGGGCCUCGGAGAAAAUCCCUGUGCGCAUGGGGCUUACCAUCUGCUCAGGGUAUUGCCAAUAUCUGAUGGUAAAGAAACCAAGUCAUCUUGCAGCAGGCUUCAUUCCGGAGAGUGCUCAAAUGCUCCGUUCUGAAAGGAGUGGCGUGGUCUCUUCCGGUUACACAGAGCCAGGAAGCGCCAGAUAUGCAGGGAGGACAUUGUUCCUGGGAGAAGGUGACCACAAAAUCUCUAGUGGACACGACCCUACAUCUCCAAGAUUUUCUCUUCUGAUGUAAGAAGACCGUAGUGGGCAUUACAGGGCUGAAAUGGCACUUUCACAAAGCUGUUGGACCCAGGGCCCGCCAGCCUCCCCCUCCACCAUCUCUAGUUCCAGCUCUGUCCUCACCCUUCAUGGUCCAAGGCCGCUGCUCCAUUUCCCCGCAUUCUAGCCAGAAGACAAAGGCAAAGAAAGGCAUAGCACUUUCCUUUAAGGAAAGUUCCCAAAAGUUGAGGGACGUUUCUGUUUCCAUCCCUUCAGCCAGAACUAACCAAACCUGGCUCCAAGGGAAGCUAGCAAAUGCCACUUGGGUAGCCCUGUGCCUCGCUAAAAGUAGGGGCUUCUGUUAGCAAAGAAAACAGGACGAACAGGAAGUGGGAAACAAUCAUGUCUCUGCCUCUGGUGUAUCAGGACUUUUGAGGUUUCUUUUUCAUUCAUUGUUGUUUUGAUUGACGAAGGUCUGACUAUCCCCCUGAACCCCUCAGAAAAAACAGGCUGAGACCCUGACCCCUUCAUUCCCACUUUUCUUUUCCCCUUCUGGCAAAUUUUAUGCCUGAGGGUUUUUGUUUUGGCUUGGUGGUUGGUUUCUCGUUUUUGUGUUUUUGGCUUGGUUUUUUGUUUGUUUUUUAAUAAACUGACAUUUAAAUUACA
rnacentral:lncRNA from 1 species